rnacentral:rRNA from 1 species
GACGAACGCUGGCGGCGUGCUUAACACAUGCAAGUCGAACGGAAAGGCCUUUUCGGAGGUACUCGAGUGGCGAACGGGGGAGUAACACGUGGGUGAUCUGCCCUGCACUCUGGGAUAAGCCUGGGAAACUGGGUCUAAUACCGGAUAGGACCGCACUUUAGUGUGGGGGGUGGGAAGGUUUUUCGGUGUAGGAUGAGCCCGCGGCCUAUCAGCUUGUUGGGGGGGUAAUGGCCUACCAAGGCGGGGACGGGUAGCCGGACUGAGAGGUUGGUCGGCCACAUUGGGACUGAGAUACGGCCCAGACUCCUACGGGAGGCAGCAGUGGGGAAUAUUGCACAAUGGGCGCAAGCCUGAUGCAGCGACGCCGCGUGGGGGAUGACGGCCUUCGGGUUGUAAACUCCUUUCGCCAGGGACGAAGCGUUUUGUGACGGUACCUGGAGAAGAAGCACCGGCUAACUACGUG